GCCCUAUGUAUGAAAUCAGUCCCCUACCAUGGUGACAGAGCAGGACUCCUUACAGCCGAGGACCUCCAGCGAAGUCUUAGCAAGCGUGAGUACUGGCUCCCUAUUUAUACAGUGCACACAUCACAGACAGAGACAGCAAGAUCACUUGAGCCCUGGAGUGUGAUGGCAGAGUCACCAAAGGAGACCUUGUCUCAGAACCAAACAUAAAACUAAACUGAACAAAACGAAGCAGAAGUUCUCAAGAGUGGCUCCAAACCAGCGGUUGAGACUUACUUGCUACAACAGAGACCAGAAGAUGGCACCAGAUGCCCUGGAGCUGGAAUUACCAAGAGUUGUGAAACCUUCAUGUGCAUGUGGGAACUGAACGGGUCCUCUAUAAGAGUAUCCAGUGCUCUUUACCACUAAGCCAU